rnacentral:rRNA from 1 species
AUUGAACGCUGGCGGCAGGCCUAACACAUGCAAGUCGAGCGAGCGGCGGACGGGUGAGUAAUAUAUGGGGCUCUGCCCGAUAGAGGGGGAUAACUACGGGAAACGGUGGAUAAUACCGCAUACUAUCAGAUGAACCAAUAUGGUAUUAGAUAGUAGGUGGGGUAAAGGCUCACCUAGGCGACGAUCUCUAGCUGGUCUGAGAGGAUGAUCAGCCACACGGGGACUGAGACACGGCCCAGACUCCUACGGGAGGCAGCAGUGGGGAAUAUUGCACAAUGGGCGCAAGCCUGAUGCAGCCAUGCCGCGUGUAUGAAGAAGGCCCUAGGGUUGUAAAGUACUUUCAGUGGGGAGGCGUUACCCACAGAAGAAGCACCGGCUAACUCCGUGCCAGCAGCCGCGGUAAUAC